GACGAACGCUGGCGGCGUGCCUAAUACAUGCAAGUAGAACGCUGAAGAGAGGAGCUUGCUCUUCUUGGAUGAGUUGCGAACGGGUGAGUAACGCGUAGGUAACCUGCCUUGUAGCGGGGGAUAACUAUUGGAAACGAUAGCUAAUACCGCAUAACAAUGGAUGACACAUGUCAUUUAUUUGAAAGUGGCAAUUGCUCCACUACAAGAUGGACCUGCGUUGUAUUAGCUAGUAGGUGAGGUAAUGGCUCACCUAGGCGACGAUACAUAGCCGACCUGAGAGGGUGAUCGGCCACACUGGGACUGGGACACGGCCCAGACUCCUACGGGAGGCAGCAGUAGGGAAUCUUCGGCCAUGGGGGCAACCCUGACCGAGCAACGCCGCGUGAGUGAAGAAGGUUUUCGGAUCGUAAAGCUCUGUUGUAAGUCAAGGAAGGGUGUGAGAGUGGAAAGUUCACACUGUGACGGUAGCUUAACAGAAAGGGACGGCUAACUACGUG
rnacentral:rRNA from 1 species